rnacentral:rRNA from 1 species
GAUAAACGCUGACAGAAUGCUUAACACAUGCAAGUCAAUGACUAAGUAUAGCUUGCUAUACAAGGUCAUGGCGGACAGGUGAGUAACGUGUAAAGAACUUACCUUAUAGACUGGGAUAACAGAUAGAAAUGUCUGAUAAUACUUAGAUACUAUUACACUUGUGGCAUCACAGAGUAAUGAAAGAAUACGCUAUAAGAGAGCUUUGCAUCCUAUUAGCUAGUUGGUAAGGUAAAGGCUUACCAAGGCGAUGAUAGGUAGCCGGCCUGAGAGGGUGGACGGCCACAAGGGGACUGAGAUACGGCCCUUACUCCUACGGGAGGCAGCAGUGGGGAAUAUUGGACAAUGGAGGAAACCCUGAUCCAGCAAUUCUGUGUGUGUGAAGAAGGUCUUCGGAUUGUAAAACACUUUUAGUUGGGAAGAAACAAAUGACGGUACCAACAGAAGAA